CCUACGGGUGGCAGCAGUGAGGAAUAUUGGUCAAUGGACGAGAGUCUGAACCAGCCAAGUAGCGUGAAGGAUGACUGCCCUAUGGGUUGUCAACUUCUUUUAUAUGGGAAUAAAAUGUUCCACGUGUGUGAUUUUGUAUGUACCAUAUGAAUAAGGAUCGGCUAACUCCGUGCCAGCAGCCGCGGUAAUACGGAGGAUCCGAGCGUUAUCCGGAUUUAUUGGGUUUAAAGGGAGCGUAGGUGGAUUGUUAAGUCAGUUGUGAAAGUUUGCGGCUCAACCGUAAAAUUGCAGUUGAAACUGGCAGGCUUGAGUACAGUAGAGGUGGGCGGAAUUCGUGGUGUAGCGGGGAAAUGCUUAGAUAUCACGAAGAACUCCGAUUGCGAAGGCAGCUCACUGGACUACAACUGACACUGAGGCUCGAAAGUGUGGGUAUCAAACAGGAUUAGAUACCCCGGUAGUC
rnacentral:rRNA from 1 species